UGGGGAAUAUUGGACAAUGGGCGGAAGCCUGAUCCAGCAACGCCGCGUGAGGGAUGACGGCCUUCGGGUUGUAAACCUCUUUCAGUACCGACGAAGCGCAAGUGACGGUAGGUACAGAAGAAGCACCGGCCAACUACGUGCCAGCAGCCGCGGUAAUACGUAGGGUGCGAGCGUUGUCCGGAAUUAUUGGGCGUAAAGGGCUCGUAGGCGGUUUGUCGCGUCGGGAGUGAAAACGCCGUGCUUAACACGGCGCUUGCUUUCGAUACGGGCAGACUAGAGGUAUGCAGGGGAGAACGGAAUUCCUGGUGUAGCGGUGAAAUGCGCAGAUAUCAGGAGGAACACCGGUGGCGAAGGCGGUUCUCUGGGCAUUACCUGACGCUGAGGAGCGAAAGUGUGGGGAGCGAACAGG
rnacentral:rRNA from 1 species